rnacentral:rRNA from 1 species
GACAGAGGGUGCAAACGUCGUUCGGAAUUACUGGGCGUAAAGCGCGUGUAGGCUGCUUGGAAAGUCGGAUGUGAAAGCCCUGGGCUCAACCUAGGAAGUGCAUUCGAAACUUCCAAGCUGGAGUGCUGGAGAGGAAGGCGGAAUUCUCGGUGUAGAGGUGAAAUUCGUAGAUAUCGAGAGGAACACCGGUGGCGAAGGCGGCAUCCUGGACCAAUACUGACACUGAGGAGCGAAAGCCAGGGGAGCAAACGGG